UUUCAAUUGGCUUUUCCUUUCUUUUCUUAGAGGGAAUGAAGAUGAGGGGCUCCAAGCCGGACUCGAAUGGCUCCCAGAAACUAUUGAGUAAAGAGGAUGAAGACCUAAAAUGGGUUGAGGAAAACAUUCCUACAUCUGUCAUUGAUGUAGCUCUCCCUGUAAUGCUGGAUGAGGAAGAGGAGAUUCUGAAAACCAAGUUGGAGCGAUCCAAAAUGGAGUAGAAGUCGUCGUGAGGAGAGGAUGUGAUGUAUUGGAAAGAAAGCGAUUUCACUGAGGCAGCAAUGAAUGCGUUCUCAGUGAUCUGAUUACCAAAAAAAAUGUGGGCAAAGCCAACCUUUCUCUUCUCCAGACACUUUACGUUUCUGGUUUUAUUUCACAGGUAUUGUGUCGCACUGUAAUAAGCACCGAGAAUAGUGUUUCAUAUUAAGAUCUUUACUGCGCAACAUGUAGUUUGGAGGGGUUGGUUUUCAGGAGGGAGGGGACACUGAUGCAAGAGCACUUUGAUAAAUAUAUUAUUUGUUUUGGAAGACGCUUUCAAUGUCACAAAAUAGGUCAAAAUUCAACAGAAUACGUGCAUUUUACACAAUUUAAAAGUGCAUUGGAAUUAGACUAAAACAAUAUUUCACAUAAAAGAAAUGACCCAAUUCAAUCCAAGUGAUCCUAGCGCCUGAUCUGUCAAAUGUGUAGGACUGCAACGACUGAUUUCAGAUCCGUUCAGGUACAUGUUGAUAAUUGGGCAGUUUUAUCCAGCCAGAUAUAUCUGAUAAUUUGACAGAUGGAGCUUAAAACACACGCUGAAAACGGAAAGUUAUUGUUCAUAAUGAGGUGAUAUUUACACAGCGUCUGAUACUUGAACUUAUCGUUGGUAAUGUGCUGUAAAAGACUAGAAAUGUAAAAAAAUGUUUUACAUGUAAAAUGGGUCACAUAAUAGAUAUGGUGUGAUUAGCCAUUUAACCAGAUAACAAAAAUGUAUUAUUUCAUAAGCUAAUUCCUUAUAGCUUCUUCAACAAAUCAUAUGUGUAUAUCGUUUUGUUAACACACGACUAACACUGUUAUCUGGCUCAAUGAUUAAUUUAAAUAUAGAAAUACAGGACUUACUUUUAUAAUUUGUGAACACGGCUGCAUCAGUGUGUAUUGAAACUUGAAGCAUAUCACCGUAAGAUGUACAUGUGUGUGUUAACUACAACACACUGUUAUCUGUUCUGGGAGAAUGUAAUAUAUAUAAACACAGUGUCAUCAGAGGCAUUCAGAUUGUCAUCAGAGGCGUUCAGAUUGUCAUCAGAGGCGUUCAGAUUGUCAUCAGAGGCGUUCAGAUUGUCAUCAGAAGCGUUCAGAUUGUCAUCAGAAGCGUUCAGAUUGUCACUUCAACACGGUACAUUUCAAGCUACUGGAAAUAAGAGUCUAAUGAUAGCGAUUUUAGAGCUUUUACUGACAAAUGAAAGACUGCUUGGUCCUCAGAGUGGAGAAAAUGUAUGAAAAAAGACCCGCUUUCAAGGAUAAGAGGUCUAAAAUUAAGGAUGUUUAUUUCUAUCUCUUUAAAAAUCAAGCUUUUAUAGCAUCUCCAUUAAUAGCUGUGAUUUAUGUCUACUUAAUUUCACCAUUUAUUUUAGCUACUGUAUCACAGAAUACACUACUAAGCCUCACAGAUGUGGUGUCGGCCUACAUUUAAAUGAUUUACUGUAUGUAUGUAAUCCUUUCUCAGAGUUUUCCCACCCUAAUUCAGUUGCACAGUGUAGAUUAAAAUGAAAAAAUCUGUACAUGCUAAAUUAAUCAUUUCCAUUUCACCCAUCAAUCCCAUUUACACUCCCAAUAAUCCUGCCUUUCUGUGGCAGAAUGAUAUGCCCGUCCUUGUUAAAACUACUGCAGUACAGUAUGUGUGUAUGUUUUAAAACUCUUAAUUAAUGUCUCUUUUUUUUAUAUAUUUGUCCAACUCUUGUUGAGGAUUUAUUUUUAUUUUAGAGAGAAACCAAUUUCUGGAUGUGAGUCUGCGUAGUAAUGUAAAGCUGAUGAUAUUGUAUGGCUUUUUGCGUGUGUCCUGCAAAUAAAAUUUAUAUUAUAACACAA